GACGAACGCUGGCGGCGUGCUUAACACAUGCAAGUCGAACGGAAAGGCCCUGCUUUUGUGGGCUGCUCGAGGUGCGAACGGGUGAGUAACACGUGGGUAACCUGCCCUUGACUUUGGGAUAACUUCAUGAAACUUAGUCUAAUACCGCAUAGGAGCUCCUGCUGCAUGGUGGGGGUGGGAAAGUUUCGGCGGUUGGGGAUGGACUGGCGGCUUAUUAGCUUGUUGGUUGGUAGUGGCUUACCAAGGCUUUGACGGGUAGCCGGACUGAGAGGGUGAGCGGGAACAUCGGGACUGAGACACGGACACGACUCAUACGGGAGGCAGCAGUGGGGAAUAUUACACAAUGGGAGGAAGCGUGAUGCAGAACCGCCGCGUGCGGGAUGACGGCGUUCGGGUUGUAAACCGAUUUCGCCUGUGCCGAAGCGUGAGUGACGGUAACGGGUAAAGAAGCACCGGCUAACUACGUG
rnacentral:rRNA from 1 species